GACGGUCUCGUUGGAGAGGAUGAAGAGGCUGCGAGGAGACACAACGCGGGACAGGCGGUCCUGUGUCCUGCACAACUCUGCCAAUAUUUUUUGUCUCAUUAAACCAAGUGGUGUGACAAAUGUGAAGAAUUUCCCCGCGGCAGAGGUGUGUAAUGUGAAGUAAAAGGUUAGGACAUGCAUCAGCUCAAGGAAGCGGAUGCCAAAUGCCCGUGGAGUUCGCUGAAAGAAUAUUUAUCAACAUUUCUCUCCACCACAUUUCCAAAAAAAAAAAAAAACAACAGGAAAAAAGACCUGCAGCCUCAUUAUUAUUUCAGUGUAACUUGUGCCAUGAGGAGAUCAAGCAGGCAUGUCAGUGUGGGACUGUCAGCGUGAAGGGACCAACUGUGGCUGUGUGUGCAGGCGAGUUCUGGGCACACCACAUCAGGGGCACUGCUGAGGUUCUUCCAGGCUGCUGGAAUGCCUUUUUUUUUUUUUUUUUAAUGGAUGAGUAAAUUAUUAGGAUGUGGACUUGUCAAACAGACUUGCCAGGUUUUCAGCAGUCAUCCCAAGUGGACUGCCUAAAAAAGGGCUGGCACUGCAUCACAUGGAAUGACCGAUGAUAUGUCAUAUAUUUUUAAUGGGCAAAAUGUUUUAAUAAACAUUCUGCCUCCUAAAACACUGGAUUUUAAAAUAGGUUUUAGCCUUGAGCCAUGUAGCUACCCAGCUGUGAAUUUUAUAAGGCAACAAUCUCCACAUCAUUAGAUGUUAUGACUGAUAUACCAGUGAAGGCAAUAGUAAGUAUUUCCACACAUUAAAAAACUUUCUGAUAGCAGUUAAAGGAAGUAUGACUCUACUUGGAAGAUUUUUUCAGCUCAAAAUUAAAGCCAUUUUCUAAAAUUAUCAAACUGGACAUGUACUGUCUUCUAGUGAACUGCAAGUUCUAAGUAUUCAAGCCAUGCUGAUUGUUGCUCCUGACCAUUUUAAUCACAUUGCCUGAUACUUUUGGAAAUCAACAUUAUUUUUCUUUUCAUGUGAUUUCGGCAUCUCCAGCCAAUUAAAAUU